rnacentral:antisense_RNA from 1 species
AUAGUGAAGUUAUGAUAUGAGAAGCACUGACUUGGCACAAGACUUGGGAAAGGCAAUGAGGCAGCAGGCAAGCUUUAAGGGGUGACACUUACCUUGAGGGAGCAAGGACAAGUUGUGACCUUCCCAGUCCUCUCUCCAUUUGCAAAUCAGCAAGCUUCUGUCAGCAAGGAGGGGUGGACAAAGAAACUGUUUGGGUUCAGCUUGAUUUGUUUUUUGAGACAGGUGUGGCAAGGGGCUGCCAUCAAAAUCAAGCUGCAGAGGAAACAGCCACCUGGGGCGUGUUCUUACGUCGCCUGGAAGCUGCACAAGAGGCCAAGUCAGAACAUGCAGAAUUCCAGUUGCCCAUGAUGUCACAGGCUGAGGCCCACACUCCAGAGACACUGUGGACUGACUGGCACCUAUGAGCUGACCUAAUAACAGUCGCACCAUUACAGCUCCAAUUCUACAGAACAAUACAUACCCAGUUCUUA